UAUUAAGUUGGUGCAAAAGUAAUUGUGGUUUUUGCCAUUGAAAGUCAUGGCAAAAACUGCAAUUCAUAUGUUGAA
rnacentral:miRNA from 1 species